CCUACGGGUGGCAGCAGUGGGGAAUAUUGGGCAUUGGGCGCAAGCCUGACCCAGCAACGCCGCGUGAAGGAAGAAGGCUUUCGGGUUGUAAACUUCUUUUCUCAGGGACGAAGCAAGUGACGGUACAUGAGGAAUAAGCCAAGGCUAACUACGUGCCAGCAGCCGCGGUAAUACGUAGGUGGCACGCGUUAUCCGGAUUUACUGGGUGUAAAGGGCGUGUUGGCGGGGACGUAAGUCAGAUGUGAAAUCCACGGGCUCAACCUGUGACCUGCAUUUGAAACUGUGUUUCUUGAGUACUGGAGAGGCAGAUGGAAUUCCUGGUGUAGCGGUGAAAUGCGUAGAUAUUAGGAGGAACACCAGUGGCGAAGGCGGUCUGCUGGACAGCGACUGACGCUGAGGCGCGAAAGCGUGGGGAGCAAACAGGAUUAGAUACCCUAGUAGUC
rnacentral:rRNA from 1 species